rnacentral:rRNA from 1 species
GGGGGCGGGGUAUGGGCGGUACGCUUGAGCGCCAUCCAUUUUCAGGGCUAGUACAUUCGGCAGGUGAGUUGUUACACAGUCCUUAGCGGAUUCCGACUUCCAUGGCCACCGUCCUGCUGUCAAGAUGUACUAACGCCUUUUGUGGUGUCUGAUGAGCGUACACUCUGGCGCCUUAACCCCGCGUUCGGUUCAUCCCGCAUCGCCAGUUCUGCUUACCAAAAAUGGCCCACUAGUGUUGGUACAUUCGAAUGCCCACGUUCAACUAAGUAACAAGGGCUUCUUACAUAUUUAAAGUUUGAGAAUGGAUGAAGGCAAUAUAUAGCCCCCGAGUCCCUAAUCAUUCGCUUUACCUCAUAAAACUGAAGAUCAACACUGCUAUCCUGAGGGAAACUUCGGCGGUAACCAGCUACUAGACAGUUCGAUUAGUCUUUCGCCCCCAUGCUCAUAUUUGACGAUCGAUUUGCACGUCAGAACCGCUGCGAGCCUCCACCAGAGUUUCCUCUGGCUUCACCCUAUACAAGCAUAGUUCACUGUCUUUCGGGUCCGUCCGUUAAAACUCUUACUCAAAUCCUUCCGAGAACAUCAGGAUCGGUCGAUGAUGCGCCGAAGCUCUCACCUGCGUUCACUUUCAUUACGCGUGCGGGUUUUACACCCAAACGCUCGCUCUAAUGGACGACUCCUUGGUCCGUGUUUCAAGACGGGUCACUGAUGACCAUUACGCCAGCAUCCUUGCCGAAGCGCGGUCCUCGGUCCCCGCGAGGGUAUCGUCCGCCGGGCUAUAACACACCCCGGAGGGUGCUACGUUCCCGUCGGUCUUAUCCCCCCGCGAAAACCGAUGCUGGCCUGUGCCGGGCGGAGUGCACAGGGGAGAACCCCUGAUGAGCCGCCCGGCCCAAGUCUGGUCAUAAGUGCUUCCCUUUCAACAAUUUCACGUACUAUUUAACCCCCUUUUCAAGGUGCUUUUCAUCUUUCGAUCACUCUACUUGUGCGCUAUCGGUCUCUGGCCGGUAUUUAGCUUUAGAAGAGAUUUACCUCCCAUUUAGAGCAGCAUUCCCAAACUACUCGACUCGUCGAAGGAGCUUCACACAGGCUUGGUGUCCGACCAUACGGGGCUCUCACCCUCUGUGGCGUCCCGUUCCAGGGAACUCGGAAGGCACCGCGCCAGAAGCAUCCUCUGCAAAUUACAACUCGGGCCGAGG